rnacentral:lncRNA from 13 species
CUGUCCAGUGUCUGUGUUCUUUUGCCCAUCUUAUAAUCUUUUCUUUCUAUUGGCCAUUCGGAGAUAUGGCUUUUUCUUUGCAACUCUGCCUAGAAGGCCAGUAUCCCGGAGUUGACUCUUCACUGUUGACGUUGAGACUGUUGUUUUGCGGGUACUAUUAAAUGAAGCUGCCUGUUGAGGACUUGUGAGGCGUCUGUUUUUCAAACUAGACACGCCAAUGUACUUGUCCUCUUGCUCAGUUGUGCACCGGGGCCUCCCACUCCUAUUUCUAUUCUGGUUAGUGCCAGUUUGUGCUCUUCUGUGAAGGGAGUAGUACACAGCGUUGAACGAGAUCUUCAGUUUCUUGGCAAUUUCUCACAUGGAAUAGCCUUCAUUUCUCAGAACAAAAAUAGACUGACGAGUUUCAGAAGAGUUCUUUGUUUCUGGCCAUUUUGAGCCUGUAAUCGAACCCACAAAUGCUGACGCUCCAGAUACUCAACUAGCCUAAAGAGGGACAGUUUUAUUGCUUCUUUAAUUAAUCAAGACAACAGUUUUCAGCUGUGCUAACAAAAUUGCUAAUGAUCAAUUAGCCUUUUACAUUGAUAAUCUUGGAUUAGCUAACACAACAUGCCAUUGGAACACAAGAGUGAUGGUGCUGAUAAUGGGCCUCUGUACGCCUAUUUAGAUGUUCCAUAAAAAAUCUGCCGUUUCCAGCUACAAUAGUCAUUUACAACAUUAACAAUGUCUACACUGUAUUUCUGAUCAAUUUGAUGUUAUUUUAAAUUUCUUUCAAAAACAAGGACAUUUCUAAAUGACCUCAAACUUUUGAACUGUAGUGUAUAUUGCACUAAAAAAUGUGCAUUUAUCAUUGUUAUUAUUACACUCUUUUCAUUUUGUCUCAACAGAUGUCCCAGACGGUUUCAUUCCCAACCCCGUCAGUAGCGGUUUAGCUGAUGUGAAGAGGAGCCGGCUGCAUGCCUCUGUGUCACAAAUCGUGAACAGAUUUGUCAUAUUUGGUGACAUCAUUGACAUUGCAACUGGCAUCAGAAGUACCUCCAGGGACCAACCUGGCUUGGCUUCUUCCUGUCCAACAUGCAGGAUGCACAUGAAGAAGGGAGAUGGGGAAAGGCUGUUGAGUACACCUCAACAAUUUCUUGAAGACCUUUCUGGGUCGAAACAUGACUGAGUAAGCAGCUGACAGGAUUAGCAAGUCCAUUGGUGUCUUCAAAGACUUGAUGGACACCACAGACGCUGAGUUAGAG